rnacentral:rRNA from 1 species
UGCUAAUACCCGAUAUGCCGAAAGGUGAAAAGUUGUUUCGCCUGGAGAGGAGCUCGCGUCCGAUUAGCUAGUUGGUGAGGUAAAAGCUUACCAAGGCGACGAUCGGUAGCUGGUCUGAGAGGAUGAGCAGCCACACUGGAACUGAGACACGGUCCAGACUCCUACGGGAGGCAGCAGUGGGGAAUUUUCCGCAAUGGGCGAAAGCCUGACGGAGCAACGCCGCGUGGGGGAAGAAGGUUUUUGGAUUGUAAACCCCUUUUCUCAAGGAAGAACAAAAUGACGGUACUUGAGGAAUCAGCCUCGGCUAACUCCGUGCCAGCAGCCGCGGUAAUACGGAGGAGGCAAGCGUUAUCCGGAAUUAUUGGGCGUAAAGCGUUCGUAGGCGGCUGUUCAAGUCUGCUGUCAAAGACCGAGGCUCAACCUCGGGUCGGCAGUGGAAACUGAAUAGCUAGAGGUCGGUAGGGGCAGAGGGAAUUCCCAGUGUAGCGGUGAAAUGCGUAGAUAUUGGGAAGAACACCGGUGGCGAAA